CGCUGGCGGCACGCCUAAUACAUGCAAGUCGAACGAAGUAGCAAUACUUAGUGGCAGACGGGUGAGUAACAUGUAGGUAUCUUCCCUUCGGUGAGGAAUAACACGAGGAAACUUGUGCUAAUACCUCAUAAGUCUUUACGGAGAAAGCUUUAUGCGCCGAUGGAUGAGCCUGCACUUGAUUAGUUUGUUGGUAGGGUAAUGGCCUACCAAGACAAUGAUCAAUAGCUGAUUUGAGAGGAUGAUCAGCCACAUUGGGACUGAGACACGGCCCAAACUCCUACGGGAGGCAGCAGUAGGGAAUCUUGCACAAUGGGGGAAACCCUGAUGCAGCGAUGCCGCGUGAGUGAAGAAGGCCUUUGGGUUGUAAAGCUCUUUCGUCGGGGAAGAAAAUGACUGUACCCGAAUAAGAAGGUCCGGCUAACUUCGUGCCAGCAGCCGCGGUAAUACGAAGGGACCUAGCGUAGUUCGGAAUUACUGGGCUUAAAGAGUUCGUAGGUGGUUAAAAAAGUUGGUGGUGAAAUCCCAGAGCUUAACUCUGGAACUGCCAUCAAAACUUUUUAGCUAGAGUAUGAUAGAGGAAAGCAGAAUUUCUAGUGUAGAGGUGAAAUUCGUAGAUAUUAGAAAGAAUACCAAUUGCGAAGGCAGCUUUCUGGAUCAUUACUGACACUGAGGAACGAAAGCAUGGGUAGCGAAGAGGAUUAGAUACCCUCGUAGUCCAUGCCGUAAACGAUGUGUGUUAGACGUUGGAAAUUUAUUUUCUGUGUCGCAGCGAAAGCAAUAAACACACCGCCUGGGGAGUACGACCGCA
rnacentral:rRNA from 1 species